rnacentral:rRNA from 1 species
UGGGGAAUAUUGCACAAUGGGCGCAAGCCUGAUGCAGCCAUGCCGCGUGUGUGAAGAAGGCCUUCGGGUUGUAAAGCACUUUCAGCGGGGAGGAAGGCGAUAAGGUUAAUAACCUUGUCGAUUGACGUUACCCGCAGAAGAAGCACCGGCUAACUCCGUGCCAGCAGCCGCGGUAAUACGGAGGGUGCAAGCGUUAAUCGGAAUUACUGGGCGUAAAGCGCACGCAGGCGGUCUGUCAAGUCGGAUGUGAAAUCCCCGGGCUCAACCUGGGAAAUGCAUUCGAAACUGGCAGGGUAGAGUCUUGUAGAGGGGGGUAGAAUUCCAGGUGUAGCGGUGAAAUGCGUAGAGAUCUGGAGGAAUACCGGUGGCGAAGGCGGCCCCCUGGACGAAGACUGACGCUCAGGUGCGAAAGCGUGGGGAGCAAACAGG